rnacentral:rRNA from 1 species
UGGGGAAUUUUGCACAAUGGGGGAAACCCUGAUGCAGCGACGCCGCGUGAUUUAGAAGGCCUUCGGGUUGUAAUAAUCUUUUCUAUGGGAAGAAAAUGACAGUACCAUAGGAAUAAGGACCGGCUAAUUACGUGCCAGCAGCCGCGGUAAUACGUAAGGUCCGAGCGUUGUCCGGAAUCAUUGGGCGUAAAGGGUACGUAGGCGGGUAAGCAAGUUAGAAGUGAAAUCCUAUAGCUCAACUAUAGUAAGCUUUUAAAACUGCUCAUCUUGAGGUAUGGAAGGGAAAGUGGAAUUCCUAGUGUAGCGGUGAAAUGCGCAGAUAUUAGGAGGAAUACCGGUGGCGAAGGCGACUUUCUGGCCAUAACCUGACGCUGAGGUACGAAAGCGUGGGUAGCAAACAGGA